CACUGAGUCAGACUUUACACUUGUCCAGCUUUACUGUGACGGAUAACUAUGAAAUGCGAAGAAUUUUACAUAAAUUGGAGCGUCUUCCACCAGAUCAGAGAGAGAUCCUUAUGAAUAAUAUCGAUCCCGAGGACUUCAGUCCACAGGAUUUUAUCAAAAUUCGCACUCUCUGCGACCAUAGAGCGAUGGAAUACCUUCAGAUGCUACAGGUUGUGUUUCUAGAGAGAGAUUUGGGAGAACCCCCAUUAUCAGACGACCCAGCCGUGCUCUCACGAGAAAUCAAACGUCGUAUAAGAAAUAUUUCAUUUUUAUUUUAAUAAAUUUUGUUAUAUUCAAAUUC